rnacentral:rRNA from 1 species
UACGUAGGAUGCAAGCGUUGUUCGGAAUUACUGGGCGUAAAGAGUACGUAGGCGGUCUGGCAAGUCUGAUAUUAAAGACUGGAGCUUAACUCCAGGACUGUAUCGGAAACUGCCAAACUAGAGGACAAUAGAGGAAGUCGGAAUUCUCAGUGUAGCGGUGAAAUGCGUAGAUAUUGGGAAGAACACCAGUGGCGAAAGCGGACUUCUGGGUUGUUACUGACGCUGAGGUACGAAAGCGUGGGGAGCAAACAGG